rnacentral:lncRNA from 10 species
CUCUUCACCUCCUUUGGCCUCAGUUUACUUGUUUGGAAGAUACGGUUGUAAUACCUGACCUCCCAGGGUUACCAUGACCAAGAGUCAUCAGCAGAAUUGUGUAGCAAGGUUGAGAAAGGUUUACAAAGUAUGACCUCUCACUGGCAGGCUGGCUCUGCUGACUGGCGCUGGCCCCAGAGCAGGUGCUGGAUGCUGUAGGAGUCUGCCACUCCUCAGUUAUUUGUCGGGCACCUGCUGUGAGUGGCCCAGGGAGCAGGGGCUGAGACCCAGUGAUGAACAGGUCAGAACCAGUUCCUGGAGGAGCUCUUAGCCUUCCAGGGUCAAGGGGUGCUCUGGAGGGGAUUUAGGGACAUGGGUCAGUGAUGUAGGAAUUUUAUGAGGGGGCUGUGGACAGCCCAGCUGGGGGAAUCGUGCCAUUUAACUGGACCCCAAAUGUGUUCAAUGUUAAAGUCAUCCUACCCCAAACUUUGUGCUUCAGGCUCCUUCUUCCCUGGAUCCCUGGCUGCGGGAGCCCCUCUGCCCAGCCUGCUGUCCGGAAUCUUGGAUGUUUGAUCGUCUCCCUAGUGCAGCACAAACCAACCUCCAGAGAAAAGUCUAGAAAAGAUGCCUGUGGCUCAGUGGGCAUUUGGUGCCUGGCAUUUGUAGACUAUGUGACACACUCUAUUAUAGAUAGGGACAUUCUCACUAUCUUGUGGGGAAACUGAGGCCCAGAGAGGAUAACUUGCCCAAAGUUACCCAGAUACAUGGUGGAGCCAGGAUGAGAACCUCCAUGCUCUGACUCUGGCCUUGGAGUGUGAGUCCUCCAAGGCCCUGCAACACACACUCAGUUUCCCCUGUCUCCCCUGGGUCCCAGGAGGAGUGACUGUGACAUCUGUGGAGGGCACACCCUCCUUGACUCUGGCUGGUGGGACUUCUGAGGGGGUUCGCCCACCCAAGAUCCUUGGAUCCCUUUUCUGUUGGGUCCACACCAUGCCAGGAAACCUGGCAAGAUGGUCACUGUGGGUGGUCUUCGUCCUUUGCUCUCUCAUCCCCCGCUCUGCGCCUCUGGCACAGGCCAGUCUUGGGGGUGAUCUGCAUUUGGCAUUUGGGUCUUUCGGGUCUCUUAGAAACCCCUUCAGCCAUGGACGCCCUGAGCGGAACCCCCUUCCUCGGGCUUCCUUUC